rnacentral:rRNA from 1 species
GUGAGGAAUAUUGGUCAAUGGACGAGAGUCUGAACCAGCCAAGUCGCGUGAAGGAAGACGGUUCUAUGAAUUGUAAACUUCUUUUGUGCAGGAAUAAAGUGGGUUACGUGUAACCUUUUGUAUGUACUGUACGAAUAAGGAUCGGCUAACUCCGUGCCAGCAGCCGCGGUAAUACGGAGGAUCCGAGCGUUAUCCGGAUUUAUUGGGUUUAAAGGGUGCGUAGGUGGAUUGAUAAGUCAGCGGUGAAAGUUUGCAGCUUAACUGUAAAAUUGCCGUUGAAACUGUCGGUCUUGAGUGCAAAUGAGGUAGGCGGAAUGUGUUGUGUAGCGGUGAAAUGCUUAGAUAUAACACAGAACUCCGAUUGCGAAGGCAGCUUACUGGGAUGCAACUGACGCUCAUGCACGAAAGCGUGGGGAUCAAACAGGAUUAGAAACCCGGGUAGUCC